GACGGAGGGUGCAAGCGUUGUUCGGAAUCAUUGGGCGUAAAGCGCACGUAGGCGGGUUUGUCAGUUGGUUGUGAAAUCCCAGGGCUCAACCUUGGAAUUGCAGUCAAAACUGCAGAUCUUGAAUACUUGAGAGGGUGGGAGAAUUCCUGGUGGAGAAGUGAAAUUCGUAGAGAUCAGGAGGAAUACCGGAGGCGAAGGCGCCUGCCUGGCAAGAUAUUGACGCUGAGGUGCGAAAGCGUGGGUAGCAAACAGG
rnacentral:rRNA from 1 species